rfam:Oryza nivara chromosome 2, whole genome shotgun sequence.
AAAUAGUGCAGUAAUAAGUUUCUGUGCUCAACUUUGAUCGUACGUUUUAUUUGAAAUUUUUUAUAAUUAGUAUUUUUGUUGUUAUGAGACGAUAAAAUAUGAAUAGUACUUUACUCGUGACUUAUGUUUUUAUUUUUUUCAAAAAAAUUUCAAAUAAGACGAAUGGUCAAAGUUGGGCGUGGAAAACCAUGGCUGCACUUAUU